UGCAAGUUGAGCGAUGAAGAUUGGUGCUUGCACCAAUUUGAAGAGCAGCGAACGGGUGAGUAACGCGUGGGGAAUCUGCCUUUGAGCGGGGGACAACAUUUGGAAACGAAUGCUAAUACCGCAUAACAACUUUAAACAUAAGUUUUAAGUUUGAAAGAUGCAAUUGCAUCACUCAAAGAUGAUCCCGCGUUGUAUUAGCUAGUUGGUGAGGAAAGGCUCACCAAGGCGAUGAUACAUAGCCGACCUGAGAGGGUGAUCGGCCACAUUGGGACUGAGACACGGCCCAAACUCCUACGGGAGGCAGCAGUAGGGAAUCUUCGGCAAUGGACGAAAGUCUGACCGAGCAACGCCGCGUGAGUGAAGAAGGUUUUCGGAUCGAAAACUCUGUUGGUAGAAAGAACGUUGGUGAGAGUGGAAAGCUCAUCAAGUGAC
rnacentral:rRNA from 1 species